rnacentral:lncRNA from 1 species
GAUGAUAUAGAAACACGAUUCAAUCGUGAAGAGUGCAAUGCAGAUAGGGAGUGGGCCGAUAUUAAAUCUACAUUAUCUAUUUUCAAGGUUAAUAUUAGUCCCAUUAGUGGAAGAAAGUACAAACAUAUGGACAUAGAAGAGCGCGAUCUAGCAUAUUUUUAUGUACUAAAUAAUUGUGAAAAAAUCUAUCAUUUUAUGGAGUAAGUACUUUUACAUAAUCAACACUAUAUAUUUUUCAUGAAGUAAAAUAAAUAAUAAGCAUGUACUUAUUGUAGAGAGCAUAG